rnacentral:misc_RNA from 1 species
AUUUUUAAUCAUUGAGGCCAAGCCUUAGUUGUAGUCGUGGCCAAUUCAUGACAUUUAGGUACACAAUUAAAUGCCAGUCCAAUCUAAUACACCAUAACUAAUGUCAUGACAUGCAUAAUCUUCAUGAUAUUAGUGACCAGCUCUUAUUAUGUGUAUUCAACAGAGCUUAGUGUAAAUUAACAGCAUAACCAAAAAUAAGUAACAGAACUCACUUGUUG